rnacentral:rRNA from 1 species
UACGGAGGGUGCAAGCGUUAUCCGGAUUCACUGGGCUUAAAGGGUGCGUAGGCGGGCAGGUAAGUCAGUGGUGAAAUCUCCGAGCUUAACUCGGAAACUGCCAUUGAUACUAUUUGUCUUGAAUAUUGUGGAGGUAAGCGGAAUAUGUCAUGUAGCGGUGAAAUGCUUAGAUAUGACAUAGAACACCAAUUGCGAAGGCAGCUUACUACACAAUGAUUGACGCUGAGGCACGAAAGCGUGGGGAGCAAACAGG